UACAGAGGUCUCAAGCGUUGUUCGGAUUCAUUGGGCGUAAAGGGUGUGUAGGUGGCGCGCUAAGUCGGGUGUGAAAUUUCGGAGCUUAACUCCGAAACUGCAUUCGAUACUGGCGUGCUUGAGGACUGGAGAGGAGACUGGAAUUCAUGGUGUAGCAGUGAAAUGCGUAGAGAUCGUAAGGAAGACCAGUGGCGAAGGCGGGUCUCUGGACAGUUCCUGACACUGAGACACGAAGGCCAGGGGAGCAAACGGG
rnacentral:rRNA from 1 species